AGUGAACGCUGGCGGUAGGCCUAACACAUGCAAGUCGAACGGCAGCACAGUAAGAGCUUGCUCUUACGGGUGGCGAGUGGCGGACGGGUGAGGAAUACAUCGGAAUCUACUUUUUCGUGGGGGAUAACGUAGGGAAACUUACGCUAAUACCGCAUACGACCUACGGGUGAAAGCAGGGGAUCUUCGGACCUUGCGCGAUUGAAUGAGCCGAUGUCGGAUUAGCUAGUUGGCGGGGUAAAGGCCCACCAAGGCGACGAUCCGUAGCUGGUCUGAGAGGAUGAUCAGCCACACUGGAACUGAGACACGGUCCAGACUCCUACGGGAGGCAGCAGUGGGGAAUAUUGGACAAUGGACGCAAGCUUGAUCCAGCCAUACCGCGUGGGUGAAGAAGGCCUUCGGGUUGUAAAGCCCUUUUGUUGGGAAAGAAAAGCAGCAGGUUAAUACCCCGCUGUUCUGACGGUACCCAAAGAAUAAGCACCGGCUAACUUCGUG
rnacentral:rRNA from 1 species